GGCCGAAAAUUUCAACACUAACCUGAUGGUAAGCCUCUACGAAAUAAGCAAGGCUGCUAGGCUGAUCCUGGGAACUAGAUAAAGUGAUCAGGAACAUAGUGCACACACACAGUCUGGGAACUAGAGAACGUGAUCAGGAACAUAGUGCACACACACACACAGCUUGGGAACUAGAUAAAGUGAUCAGGAACAUAGUGCACACACACACACACACACCCCGGGAACUAGAUAAAGUGAUCAGGAACAUAGUGCACACACACACACACACAGCCUGGGAGCUAGAUAAAGUGAUCAGGAACAUAGUGCACACACACACACACACACACACACACAGAGCCUGGGAACUAGAUAAAGUGAUCAGGAACAUAGUGCACACACACAGCCUGGGAACUAGAGAAAGUGAUCAGGAACAUAGUGCACACACACACACAGCUUGGGAACUAGAUAAAGUGAUCAGGAACAUAGUGCACACACACAGCCUGGGAACUAGAGAAAGUGAUCAGGAACAUAGUGCACACAUACACAUAGCCUGGGAACUAGAUAAAGUGAUCAGGAACAUAGUGCACACACACAGCCUGGGAACUAGAGAACGUGAUCAGGAACAUAGUGCACACACACACACACACAGCUUGGGAACUAGAUAAAGUGAUCAGGAACAUAGUGAACACACACACACACAGCCUGGGAACUAGAUAAAGUGAUCAGGAACAUAGUGCACACACACACACACACACACACACACAGAGCCUGGGAACUAGAUAAAGUGAUCAGGAACAUAGUGCGCACACACACACACACACACACACAGCCUGGGAACUAGAUAAAGUAAUCAGGAACAUAGUGCACACACACACACACAGCAUGGGAACUAGAUAAAGUGUUCAGGAACAUAGUGCGCACACACACACACACACACACACACACAGCCUGGGAACUAGAUAAAGUAAUCAGGAACAUAGUGCACACACACACACACACACACACACACAGCCUGGGAACUAGAUAAAGUGAUCAGGAACAUAGUGCACACACACACACACACACACACACACACAGAGCCUGGGAACUAGAUAAAGUGAUCAGGAACAUAGUGCACACACAUAGCCUGGGAACUAGAUAAAGUGAUCAGGAACAUAGUGCACACACACAACAUACAUAGUGCACACAUACACACACACACGCACACAGCCUAAGAGUCAAAGAGGCUUAGCUUGAAGGACUGCCUUUGACAUAAACUCGUGGUAUGACACUAGGCAAGGCACUUAACGGCUUCAAAUAAUUCUCUAUGACUUCAUGUUGCAGUGUCAACCUGCAUUAAUUGAAGGAAGUUUCCUCAAGGAGCAUUUUUGGUAUUUAUCAAAACAUAGGUCUGUUCAAAAAUAUGUGUGUGUGUGAAGGGAUAGCUGGGUGACUCUGUAGAGAGAGCCAGGCCCAGGGAUGGGAGGUCCUGGGUUCAAAUCUGGCCUCAGACACUUCCUAGCUGUGUGUUCCUGGGCAAGUUACUUAACUCCUCCCCCUCCCCCCUUGCCUAAGCCUUUACUGCUUAUCUGCUUUGGAACCAAUACAUAGUAUUGAUUCUAAGGCAGAAGGUAAGGGUUAAAAAAAAAUACAUAUAUAUAUAUAUAUAUGUAUAUAUACAGAUAU
rnacentral:lncRNA from 1 species